rnacentral:rRNA from 1 species
UACGAAGGGGGCUAGCGUUGUUCGGAAUUACUGGGCGUAAAGCGUGCGCAGGCGGCUUCUCAAGUCAGGGGUGAAAGCCCAGAGCUCAACUCUGGAAUUGCCUUUGAGACUGAGUGGCUUGAGUACGAGAGAGGUGAGUGGAAUUCCCAGUGUAGAGGUGAAGUUCGUAGAUAUUGGGAAGAACACCGGUGGCGAAGGCGGCUCACUGGCUCGUAACUGACGCUCAUGCACGACAGCGUGGGGAUCAAACAGG